rnacentral:rRNA from 1 species
GACGAACGCUGGCGGCGUGCCUAAUACAUGCAAGUCGAGCGGACCGAACAGGAGCUUGCUCUUGUUCGGUUAGCGGCGGACGGGUGAGUAACACGUGGGUAACCUGCCCGUAAGACCGGGAUAACUCCGGGAAACCGGAGCUAAUACCGGAUAACACCGAAGACCGCAUGGUCUUUGGUUGAAAGGCGGCUUCGGCUGCCACUUACGGAUGGGCCCGCGGCGCAUUAGCUAGUUGGUGAGGUAACGGCUCACCAAGGCGACGAUGCGUAGCCGGCCUGAGAGGGUGACCGGCCACACUGGGACUGAGACACGGCCCAGACUCCUACGGGAGGCAGCAGUAGGGAAUCUUCCGCAAUAGACGAAAGUCUGACGGAGCGACGCCGCGUGAGCGAAGAAGGUCUUCGGAUCGUAAAGCUCUGUUGUUAGGGAAGAAGAAGCGUCGUUCGAACAGGGCGGCGCGGUGACGGUACCUAACGAGAAAGCCCCGGCUAACUACGUG